rnacentral:rRNA from 1 species
GAUGAACGCUGGCGGCGUGCCUAAUACAUGCAAGUCGAGCGAACAGACGAGGAGCUUGCUCCUCUGACGUUAGCGGCGGACGGGUGAGUAACACGUGGAUAACCUACCUAUAAGACUGGGAUAACUUCGGGAAACCGGAGCUAAUACCGGAUAAUAUAUUGAACCGCAUGGUUCAAUAGUGAAAGACGGUUUUGCUUUCACUUAUAGAUGGAUCCGCGCCGCAUUAGCUAGUUGGUAAGGUAACGGCUUAACAAGGCAACGAUGCGUAGCCGACCUGAGAGGGUGAUCGGCCAAACUGGAACGGAGACACGGUCCAGGCUCCUACGGGAGGCAGCAGUAGGGAAUCUUCCGCAAUGGGCGAAAGAUUGACGGCGCAACGCCGCGUGAGUGAUGAAGGUCUUCGGAUCGUAAAACUCUGUUAUUAGGGAAGAACAAAUGUGUAAGUAACUAUGCACGUAUUGACGGUACCUAAUCAGAAAGCCACGGCUAACUACGUG